rnacentral:rRNA from 1 species
UACGUAGGGUGCAAGCGUUAAUCGGAAUUACUGGGCGUAAAGCGUGCGCAGGCGGUGAUGUAAGACAGAUGUGAAAUCCCCGGGCUCAACCUGGGAACUGCAUUUGUGACUGCAUCGCUGGAGUGCGGCAGAGGGGGAUGGAAUUCCGCGUGUAGCAGUGAAAUGCGUAGAGAUGUGGAGGAACACCGAUGGCGAAGGCAGCCUCCUGGGCCAGCACUGACGCUCAUGCACGAAAGCGUGGGGAGCAAACAGG